CUUCUGCGAAGCUCACAGGCCGGUACCGGGCCGCGCUCCUGCGCUCCGGGCCAGCAGCCCCCAGUACACAGCCGUAGGAAUUUAAAGGAGCCACAUCGCACAAAACACGCAGAGUGAACUGAACCACCAGGAGAAGAGUCGCCCUCCUACGAAAGAGGAAGAGCCUCCAUCCCUGGGACAUGGACCAAACCAAUCCAACCAAAGACCAGACCACACCAGACCACACCAGCUGGCUCAGGCAGAGCUGGCUGGGGGGGCUUCCCCGAACAAGUGGAGCUCGCAAGAACCUGAGUGGUGAGUGCAACAGGUAGAAACGAGGGGAGGAAUUAAGGAAUGCACCCCAGCCUGCCCUUGGAAGGCCUGCAGACUUACCAUGGGGAUCAAAGGCUAGUGGGCCCUAAGGGAGAGCGUAAAUGAAGGACAC